CAGCAGCCGCGGUAAUACGAAGGGGGCUAGCGUUGUUCGGAUUUACUGGGCGUAAAGCGCACGUAGGCGGAUCGAUCAGUCAGGGGUGAAAUCCCAGAGCUCAACUCUGGAACUGCCUUUGAUACUGUCGAUCUGGAGUAUGGAAGAGGUGAGUGGAAUUCCGAGUGUAGAGGUGAAAUUCGUAGAUAUUCGGAGGAACACCGGUGGCGAAGGCGGCUCACUGGUCCAUUACUGACGCUGAGGUGCGAAAGCGUGGGGAGCAAACAGGAUUAGAUACCCCCGUAGUCCCUGUCUCUUAUAC
rnacentral:rRNA from 1 species